AGUGAACGCUGGCGGUAGGCCUAACACAUGCAAGUCGAACGGCAGCACAGGAGAGCUUGCUCUCUGGGUGGCGAGUGGCGGACGGGUGAGGAAUACAUCGGAAUCUACUUUUUCGUGGGGGAUAACGUAGGGAAACUUACGCUAAUACCGCACACGACCUACGGGUGAAAGCAGGGGAUCUUCUGACCUUGCGCGAUUGAAUGAGCCGAUGUCGGAUUAGCUAGUUGGCGGGGUAAAGGCCCACCAAGGCGACGAUCCGUAGCUGGUCUGAGAGGAUGAUCAGCCACACUGGAACUGAGACACGGUCCAGACUCCUACGGGAGGCAGCAGUGGGGAAUACUGGACAAUGGGCGCAAGCCUGAUCCAGCCAUACCGCGUGGGUGAAGAAGGCCUUCGGGUUGUAAAGCCCUUUUGUUGGGAAAGAAAUCCAGCUGGUUAAUACCCGGUUGGGAUGACGGUACCCAAAGAAUAAGCUCCGGCUAACUUCGUGCCAGCAGCCGCGGUAA
rnacentral:rRNA from 1 species